rnacentral:rRNA from 1 species
AGUAGUUUGAUCAGUGCUCAGGACGACGCUGGCGGCGUGCCUAACACAUGCAAGUCGAGCGGAGACAUGCGACGGAGAUGAAGUUUUCGGAUGGAGUCAAAGAUGUAUGUUUUAGCGGCGGACGGGUGAGUAACGCGUGAGCAACCUGUCCUUCACGAGGGGGAUAACACAGCGAAAGUUGUACUAAUACCGCAUAAGACCACAGAGUCACAUGGCUCAGGGGUCAAAGGAGCAAUCCGGUGAAGGGUGGGCUCGCGUCCGAUUAGAUAGUUGGUGAGGUAACGGCCCACCAAGUCGACGAUCGGUAGCCGACCUGAGAGGGUGAUCGGCCACAUUGGGACUGAGACACGGCCCAAACUCC